UCGAAUCCCUGCGUCCCUGGCUUUCGGUUUUGGUUUCUCGAUACAACGCAGUAUGUACAUAUUUCGGUUGAUUAUCUAGCGUGACGUAGCAGAUUCCUUACUCUGUGCCUCUUUAUCAGGGAAUACCCUAGUUUUGUUACUUUAUCAUCUAUAUGCACAUUUUAUCAUUCGUGAAAAUAACUUUGUCGAGUAGAGAACAUUAUUUUUGUAUCUUGCCAUAUAACUAAUUAUCAAAUAACUUCAUCUUUCAAGUCAUAAAACCGAAAAUAAAAUACAUUUGGUAAAAAAUAACAAAUUGGCUGGAAUGGAAAAAUCAAUUUGUCGAGUAUUUA